CCCUUAGAAGUUCUGGGCCGCACACGCGCUACACUGAAGGAGGCAGCGUGUACUCCUGGAUCGAAAGAUUUGGGUAACCCGCGAAUCUCCUUCGUGCUAGGGAUUGAGGUUUGCAAUUAUCCUUCAUGAACGAGGAAUUCCCAGUAAGUGCAAGUCAUAAGCUUGCGCUGACUACGUCCCUGCCCUUUGUACACACCGCCCGUCGCUACUACCGAUUGAAUGAUUUAGUGAGGACUUCGGACUGGGACCGAUGCGGCUUUCGGGCUGCGUCGGUAUUCUGGAAAGAUGUCCAAACUGUAUCAUUUAGAGGAAGUAAAAGUCGUAACA
rnacentral:rRNA from 1 species